GGAGGUGAUUGAAGGGAUUAUGAGGUUUUUCGGGUCUGAAUUGGGAUCGAAGGCGAGUUCCACUGUUAGGCAAGUUGAAGGGACAGUUUUGCUUCAUGUUAAUUUUGCGGUGAAGCAGGAUCCCUCUCUAGGGCAGGAGGUUAUAGGGCUUGUGAAGUUGGACUCUAAGGCUCUUAAUCAUUUUGCUGUGGCUGUUUUAUUGUC
rnacentral:misc_RNA from 1 species